ACAACCGGGAGCUGGGGCCCCCUGCACGUCUCUUGAGGAAGACCCCGGCAAAAAUUGAUAAAAAGAGAUGAUGUGCACAUGUCCCACAUUUACGCGAAUCUUAGAGUUGUGGAACGCACAGCGCCCCGCCCCAAUCCGGGGGCGGUAUACCCCCCUGAGAGUCAC
rnacentral:rRNA from 1 species